rnacentral:misc_RNA from 1 species
AUUGGUUAGUAAAAUUGUCAGAGAAUUUAAACCUAUAACUUUCCAUUUUCUAUUGAGAAAAAGCCAGGAACCAUUUUGUAGGCUAGAAAUAAAUCGAGGAGCUCUCUUUGCCUUUCGCUUUUCUCUCUAGUCUAACCUAGGGUUUAGUCCUUUUUCCCUGUCGGUUGUGUCCGGCCUCCUCUGCCCCUCAAGAAGGAGGGGGGGUUGGGUGUGGGGUGGGGGCGCGCUUACCUCCUCUGCUCGGCAUGGGUCUUGCCCCUUCCAUUUGUGGAUGGACAGUGUGAAUCCUUUUGCUUUUCCUUUUUGCAGGUUGUGUGCUUAAUGGUAGGGGCUUCAUUUUCUGAAUGAAGCAGCCUUGAUCAAUAGCUGCAUGUAGG